UUGUUGACGUCAUGCUGGCAGUUAAGAAGACGUCAUGAGCGUCUUACUACCCAACAUGGCGGACUUUGAUACAAUCUAUGAGUUAGACGAAGAAGAUGAACGUGUAGUGAGUGAAGAACACCUUGUUAGAUAUUGCUCAGAACCUGUGAUUAUGCGAGGGGCCGGGCACAUCACCGUGUUUGGAUUGAGCAACAAAUUUGACACUGAGUUUCCCUCCGUUCUCACGGGAAAGGUGGCUCCAGAGGAGUUUAAAACCAGCAUCAGCAGAGUGAACGCUUGCUUGAAGAAGACGUUGCCUGUCAAUGUGAAGUGGCUUCUUUGCGGCUGCCUGUGCUGUUGCUGUACGGUGGGCUUCAGUCUGUGGCCCGUUAUAUGCCUCAACAAGAGAGCGAGAAGAUCUAUUCAGAAGUUGUUAGAAUGGGAAAACAACCAAUUAUAUCACAAGCUAUUUUCAGCUGACAUAGUGGACAGAGGCUGACCAGACCUAAAGGUCAGCAGUAAAAGGCAUGUUAAUUUAGUUUUGUCUCGGAACAAUGAGUGACAGCUAGUAACUGAGCAGAAGAAUGAAGGAAGCUCUUCAGGGUGUCUGACCACUACCUGACCCCAGCCAGACAUGGUUUGAAGCGUUCCUAAAUUCCCCUCACACUCAGAUUUGCUAACCAGACGGGAUGUGGGUGUGUGUGCGCGGUGUUGUCUGUCCUCACUUUCACCUCUUCUGUUUAGCUGGGCCUGCACUGGAAACUCAGCAAAAGGAAAUGUGAAAGCAGCAAUAUGAUGGAAUAUGUAAUUCUUAUAGAAUUCUUACCCAAAUAUCCUAUAUUCCGACCGGACUGAACUGAGGCUGUUGGGAGACCUGCAGUGUGGCCCUUGACUCCUAUCCUUAGUGCCUAGUAUAAAUGUUGGAAUAAGGGUCUGCACCUGUGUCUCAGUGUCCCUUACAUCUCCCGGUACCUUGUACAUUUGAAAUUGCAACACUGUCACUUUGCUUUAGAGCAGAUUUUGCACAUUUCCUGAUGAAGUAGAAAAAUGCUCUCUUUGUUGCACACUAAUACUUUGCUUUUGUUACAUAUAUAUGACAAGUGAUUGAAAAAAAUAACACUGUUGAAAAGUGCAUUUAGCCCAAAGAGCCAUCAUCAAUUGAGUCCAUGUAUCAUAUCAUUAUUGCUUUGGAAAAACAUGUGACACCUCCUAGAGCAGAGUUGUCAAACCUACGACCCGUGGGCCAGAGCACAUUCAAUCCGGGGGGGGUUUGAGUUUAAAAAAAAAAACAUUGUUGUAAUUAUGAUUUUUGGGACAUUUGAAAUGAGGAAAAACAAAUGGAAACUGUGUAGUAAUGAUAAUAGACCUACAUUUAUAGUCUCUUCACUCUGUCCAGCUUUCUAACAGUCAUCGAAACUAAAGCUAGACAGUCCGGGAGCAUUGAAACUAUUUUUUGCCGAUUUUUGACGGCGAGGAAAUAUAAUACAUUUUAAGUGCGACCCUCCCGAUCUCGGUGAAGACCGAUUGCAGCCCGCGGGGCAAAAUGAAUUUGACACCCCUUAUCCUAGAGCAUCCUUGCCUUAUGUAAAACAAACCAUUUUAUAUAUAAGACAGGAGGAGACAAACAUUUUGUAGCUCAGCAAGUUCAAAUGCUGGUUAUUGGGGUUAGUUUCCUCAAAUCAAUUUGUCUCUGUGACAAAAAGUAGAUGGGAUGCUUGAAUUUGCCAAACAUACGAUGUAAGUCCGCAUCAUGUUUUUUUUUUCUUCAUUUCAGAAAUGACCCUUUCUACAGGGAACUUUAAAAAAACUGUAAAUAUGUUAGUAUAAACUGUAGGCCUACAGUGGUAUGCUGUUGUUUACAUUGUUAUUUAGAUAUUUGAUUUGUUUUGCCAAGAUAAUGCUAUACCAUAGUUUUGUUUAUGAAAGAUGUCUCUUUCCAGUUUAUAUGGACCUGUUUACUUAGUAAGCCAUAUCAUUUACAAUGUAUGUGAUGCCAGAGUUAGGAUUGAAAAUUGCACUUGAGCUUAUCAAAAUGUCAGGAUUUCAGAGAAUGAUUUCAAACUGAGGUUUUUAAUUUUACAAUGACACUAGUGAUGCAUGUUAUUUGUGAUUUUUGCCAACUUAAAAAAAAAAGUGUAAUUCAUUUCAAUGUGAGAUGGCUACUUGUCUUUAUGAUGUACUGUUGGAAACGGACUCCAACUUGGCACCUCCAUGUCUCUUGUUUUUUGUCAAACUUUUUAUUGCAGAUUUGUCUUUGUUCAUUUUAUAGUUUUUAUUUUCCUAUACUGUGUUUUGUCUUUGUGUUAGUUGUUAAAAACCACGUACAACCUACAGUACAUUACAUAUUGAGAUAAACGUUUCCUUUGUUAUUCAUUUUGUCCAGAGUUGUCUCCGUCACUUGUAGCUGAGAGUUUUGCUGCAUUAUAGUGCCUCUGGAAUGGUAGAUGAAUCGCAGUCAGAGAAGUGGUGUGGUUGUGAAGACUGACAUCUGCUCACUCGUAUUGUGGAGAGCCCUGGCCCUCUUCCCAGUAUUGGCCCUGUUACAGAGUACUUGUAAAUGUUUGUCAUGACAACUCAAUCCCUAUGGAAAGCUAAAAUAAAUGGUUGAUUUUGAA